GUUGAGCAGCUUUCCUGUGCUACAACCUCCCACCAUGCCAUUCCAGCCUUGGAGCCAGCCAGCCAUGGACCCUCUGAAACCACAAUCUAAAUGAAGCUCUCCUUUUGGGAGUCUGGUAUUAUGUGCCAUGGAAAGCUGCGUAGUCUACUCCGCCCCAUCUGAGCUGAGCCACCCUGUAUGCGAGAGAGUGAUGGACAGCCACACCCAGAGAAGCAAGGGAGAUGGAGCCUGCAGUGAGGGACUAAGAAGAGAAGCAGGAGGCAGUGUGCAGUGACACCUCGCUUCGUGGAUGCUUCCGUCUGUAAACACUUUGCUUUGCAAACAGAACUGACUGGCAAAAUUUUGCUUAUGUUCUCGAACUCCUCAUAGGUGCCAAACAUGACCAUGGCCAUUUUCUGCUCUGACACAUGGUCGUGGCUUCCUCUAGUCGAGAUCGCAGUCACAGAUAGACCUGUGCACACUUGCUGUGAGGCUUUUGUGUGUUUUAGCACAUACAGUACUCUACAGUGUUAUUCAGUCCAGCAUGGCUCCAAAGAAACUGCAGAGGUAAAAAGAGAGUGCAGAGCAAUAAUGAAGGUAACAAGAAAGUGCAGAGCAAGAAUGGCAAGAAGGUUUUGAAGAAAUAACCAUUGAGUUGAAGGACGCUGUGGACAAGCAUGAGCAUGGUAUCCUUAUGACUGAUCUGGCCUCAGAGCACACGAUGGCGAAGUCCACAGCCUCGACUGUCUUGAAGAAUAAAAACACCAUCAAAGGAGCUGACGUGGCCAAAGGAGUAAUGAUGUUAACCAAGUAGAGGACACAAGUGCUGGAAGAGGUGGAAAAGCUUUUGUCAGUGUGGCUGAGUGAGAAUCAGCUGGCAGGUGAUAGUGUUAGGAAGCUAUGGUCUGUGAAAAGCCAGGAAAUUGCACAGCGGUCUACUGUAAGAAAUCCCUCUACACCUCUACAAGUGCAACAGGUGAGGGAUCUAGAGCCUGUAGAGGGUGGUUUGAUAAAUUCUGCAAGGGAAGUGUCUGUGAUAAGACAUGGUGAGGCUUCUGGUUCUGACAAGGCCUCCACAGAAGCCUACAGGAAAGAAUUCGCAGAACUCAUGAAGACAGAAGGAUAUGUCAAGCAACAAGUGUUUAACUCUGAUGAAACAGGGCUUUUGUGGAAGAAGAUGCUGAGCAGAACCUAUGACAUACAGGAGGAAAAGGCACCGCUGGGGCACAAGCCCAUGAAGGACAGACUGACCCUUGUGCCUGUGCGAAUGCAAGCCCCAAUCUGAAGAUUAGGCCACUACUGGUGCACCAUCCCCAGACCCCUCGGCAUUCAAGGGACAGUGUGGACAAGGCCAGGCUGCCUGUCGUGUGGAGGCUAGUGGCGAAGCCUGGGCCACAGGGCAACUGUUUAUGGAAGGGCUGCACAAGGUGUUCUCACCCACCAUUAAGCAAUAUCUUUCUGGCAACCAGCUGCCUGAAGGUGCCUCCUUCAGAUGGACAGAGCCCGGCAACCUCCAGCCUUGGCAGAUGACAUGGACGCUGAGUAUGACUUUAUGACGGUCAAGUUCCUCCCCUACACGACACCUCUUCUGCAGCCUUAGGCCAGCAAAUGACCCAUAACUUCAAGAAGCUGUGCACAGGGUGCUCUUCACCAGGUGUUUUAAUGUCACUGAAGAGACAUCCCUGACUGGAAGAAUUCCAGAAGAAACAUUUCUCCCCACCGCAUCAGGCUCCCUGACACAGCCUGAGAAGAUGUCACGUACCGGACCUUCAACUCAGCCUGGAGGACACCGGCCAGAACGCGUCACUGGGUGUGACUGUGAAGGGUCUGAGGCACAGGUGUGGAGGGAUUGUGCCCACGGGCAAGAGUGUGGGUCUGGACGCCGAUGGUGCAGACGUGGAGGGGACCAAAGGAGGAGCUGACGCGGGAAGCACUUGCUGAACCGCUGAGUGAGCAGCAGAAGGCGCCUGCCGAGGAGCCCUGCGCCGAGAGGGGGCUGGGAGGAGGCCGGCAGUGACGUGACAAACUUCACCCUGGAAAAUGGAACGAGGGCUGGUUCUUGAGAAGCCCCGCCCCGACAUGGCCUCUCAACACAGGCCCUCUCGUUCCCGGGGGUUGCGCAGCACAGGAAAAACACUGACAUUAGAGAGAUUUCUCCCGUCAACACCGACCCUGCAGCUAAGAGAGAAAGAAGAGGACUCCCCCGACGGAGGUCUCCCCAGUGCCUCAUGGAGGGGCCCACCCUCCAAAUAAUACCCUCCUUCCUGUCCUGCGCGCCAGGAGUCUCCAAGCAAGUGCCUUCAGGGCCCCAGUGACGCCGUGGUGACCACGUGCCUGUAACAGAAGUCAGCCCUAGAAGGAAAAUCAGUAGGUCCCACACUUGGGCUCACCGGCUCGGUGGUGAAACCUCACGGCGUAUUCAUAACACCACCUGGAGCACAAGUCCUGGAGAAAGCACAAGUUCUGUAGCCAGCUAUGAAAACCCUACAGGACUCUUCUGAGAAGCAGACACCGGGAGAGUUAGCAUUUCAGAUUUCUUUAUGUCAGUUGCCAUGGUCUUCUACCACACGGCUCCAAGCUUCGUUCCCUACUAUGCCUCCAUGUGUCCUCCAGCUUUCCAAAAGCCUCCCGCCCUUCACGACUGCAGACCUCAGAGCUGGUGUUACCUGGCUGGGCUGGUGGCCAUGGGACUCAGUCAUCUGGAGGGCAGAGUGGUGCUCAAGGCCGCGGAGUGGUUAGAGCCCUCCAGAAGAGUUGAGGGGCUGAGUGUCAGACUCUCCACAGCAACUGCUGACUGACCGUGUUCCCAUCGAGUGACCUGAGUCUACAGGUUGCCUGGGUCCAGAGGCUUCUACAGUGUCACUCAGACCUCGACAAGCAAGUGGAAGGGAGUGAAGCCAUCACAGGAACAACUGCAAAUCUGCUCCCGUUCAUCAAGGGGGGAAUUCCUCCCUCGUUAUUCGUAGUCACAAAGCACGCAUGAUCCGUUCAUGGCUCCACAGCUAUGCCUUCACCAUGUCUGCCAGCUCUUCCAGGGUGCUGGCAUCACCAGGAUCGUCCGGAGGGCCCAGCCACAGAGCGUGGUCAGUAGGACUGGCACAGGGAUCGAGACCCUGCUUCUCUGACGAGUUUCCAAGUGAUGCUGAUUUUGCUGGCCUGGCGGCCACCCUUGAAGAACACUGUUCAGGGUCUCCCUUACUCCAGCCCCCAGCCCUGGUUCCUGAAUCAAAUCUGUCCCUCCCGAGGUGGGCCUGCUUGGGGACUCCAGUGGCUUCACCAGUGGGGUUGCUUGAUGUCCAUCUCAGUCUCCCCCAUUCUUUCAUUGGAAAAAUGGACAACGGAGACUGAGGAAAUGCAGGAAAAAGGUACCAGAGCCACGGGCGAUCGAUGUGGUCGUUGUGACCCCUCACUCCCUCCUGCAGUGAUUCUGCUACAUUCUCUCUGCGGCAUCUGAUGAAGAAUCUGCUGUCGGUUUGAGGACACUACCUGCUACUUCCCAGCCUCUUUUUGGGAUCAACUGGGGAUACUUCAGAUAAGACGCUUCAACUAACAUCGUUACAACAAGGCCUGGCACGUAACAAAUACCCAACACAUUUACUGAGAUGCCGCCCUGGGCUUAGAGAUUGGAAGCCGAGUGCUUACCCCAAAUGUUUGGGCUCGGAUCCUGGCCGUGUUCACUGUCAGCUGCGUGACUUGGGCAAGUUAUCCGAGUUCUCGGUAACUCGGUCUCCUUGCCUGUACACUGGGGUUGAUAAUAACAGUGUGUCCAGGAAAACAGAGAUGAACUGAAUUCCUGUCUGCAAAAUCCUUAUGUCCAUGUCUGCCUCCUAAGAAGCACUGGGUAAAUAUGACUCAGUGACUGUGCAAACAGGAGCAGAG
rnacentral:lncRNA from 1 species